ACGAGAUGGAAUGGUGGAAGUACCUGGUGAAGGGUGAGCCGGAGAUUAAUAUCCAGAAAGUAGAACCUGAAACCAGCAAACUUUCAGAUUUGGAUGCCGAAACACAUUCAACUGUGGAAAAGAUGAUGGUAAUCUCUGAUGUACCAUAACAGCAUUUGAACAUAUGUUUUUACAUUUUUUAUUAUAUUCAUAUAUUUCGAAGAUUUUUGCUGGGUGACGGUUAUAUUAGGAAAGUAAUGAAAUGGUGACCCAGUUUUUGGGCAACUCUUUUAAGUAGUUCAAUUGCUAUUUGCAGUUUGACCAACGACAAAAAUCCAUGGGCCUUCCAACGAGUGAUGAAAUGCAGAAGCAAGAGAUGCUAAAGUAGUUUAUGGCUGAGGUGAACACUGAAUAACUUACCUCGCACUUCUGAUCUCAUUCUUUUGGCAUCUCUAUGUUUUUCAAGUCUCAGUGAUUUACUUAUUUGACUUUGUGGUUUUUUCCAGCAUCCAGAGAUGGACUUUUCAGGGGCAAAAGUUAGCUAAAUGAACAGGAGAGAGCUUUCUGUGCAGAUUACGUUCCUUCUUAAUAUGAUACAUCCGUCGGUGGGAGCUAUUGGUUAUCUUUUUGGGCUUCUCGAUUGAAUUUAAGGCGGAUUUAUUUUUCUGAAUGAGAGGCUUCUUGAUAAUAACUUUUGUCUACAUGAAGCAUCGAUGGUGUUGAAGUUAGUGAUAUCAUUAUACUGUUACCCGUAAAUUCUUGGGCAUUGUUUUCAAAGUGAGCUUUACCAUGAAUAGAAGUAUUAUAAGUGAGACACAGAAUAAUUUGGCUUCCUUCUGCGUCUGGAUUUAAAGAGUAGUAGUUUUACUUUUCAUUUAUCGGUAACUGUAUAUGCUUAAAAGUAAUGCUUAAAAGUUACUUUUGUAGACCUUCUAAAAGAGUACGCUUUUAUUAUCAAAAAAAAAAAAGGGUGA
rnacentral:lncRNA from 1 species